rnacentral:tRNA from 1 species
ACCUAGCUAGCUCAGAUGGUAGCAUAUCAGACUUUUAAUUUGAGGGUCCAGGGUUCCAGUCCCUGGUCAGGUA